rnacentral:rRNA from 1 species
CUACCAUGCAAGUCGAGGGGCGGCACAUGAGUAGCAAUACGAUGGUGGCGACCGGCGCACGGGUGAGUAACACGUAUGCAACCUGCCUGUAAGAGGGGAAUAACCCGGAGAAAUUCGGACUAAUACCGCAUAAUACCACGAGACUGCAUGGUUUUGUGGUUAAACAUUUAUGGCUUACAGAUGGGCAUGCGUAUGAUUAGAUAGUUGGUAGGGUAACGGCCUACCAAGUCUACGAUCAUUAGGGGUUCUGAGAGGAAGGUCCCCCACACUGGUACUGAGACACGGACCAGACUCCUACGGGAGGCAGCAGUGAGGAAUAUUGGUCAAUGGGCGAGAGCCUGAACCAGCCAAGUCGCGUGAAGGAAGAAGGUUCUAUGGAUUGUAAACUUCUUUUGCAGGGGAAUAAAGGACGGUACGUGUACUGUUUUGUAUGUACCUUGCGAAUAAGGAUCGGCUAACUCCGUGCCAGCAGCCGCGGUAAUACGGAGGAUCCGAGCGUUAUCCGGAUUUAUUGGGUUUAAAGGGUGCGUAGGUGGACCGUUAAGUCAGUGGUGAAAGUUUUCGGCUCAACUGAAAAAUUGCCGUUGAAACUGUCGAUCUUGAGUGCAAAUGAGGUAGGCGGAAUGUGUUGUGUAGCGGUGNAAAUGCUUAGAUAUAACUUGGGUUUAAAGGGUGCGUAGGUGGACCGUUAAGUCAGUGGUGAAAGUUUUCGGCUCAACUGAAAAAUUGCCGUUGAAACUGUCGAUCUUGAGUGCAAAUGAGGUAGGCGGAAUGUGUUGUGUAGCGGUGAAAUGCUUAGAUAUAACACAGAACUCCGAUUGCGAAGGCAGCUUACUGGGAUGCAACUGACACUGAUGCACGAAAGCGUGGGUAUCAAACAGGAUUAGAUACCCUGGUAGUCCACGCAGUAAACGAUGAAUACUAGCUGUAUGCGAUACACCGUAUGUGGCACAGCGAAAGCGUUAAGUAUUCCACCUGGGGAGUACGUUCGCAAGAAUGAAACUCAAAGGAAUUGACGGGGGCCCGCACAAGCGGAGGAACAUGUGGUUUAAUUCGAUGAUACGCGAGGAACCUUACCCGGGCUUGAAAUGCAGAAGACCGACGAAGAAAUUCGUUUACCCGGGCUUGAAAUGCAGAAGACCGACGAAGAAAUUCGUUUUCCAGCAAUGGCUUCUGUGUAGGUGCUGCAUGGUUGUCGUCAGCUCGUGCCGUGAGGUGUCGGCUUAAGUGCCAUAACGAGCGCAACCCUUGCCAUUAGUUGCUAACAGGUUAAGCUGAGAACUCUAAUGGGACUGCCAUCGUAAGAUGCGAGGAAGGUGGGGAUGACGUCAAAUCAGCACGGCCCUUACGUCCGGGGCGACACACGUGUUACAAUGGGUGGUACAGAGGGUUGCUACCUGGUGACAGGAUGCUAAUCUCUUAAAUCCACUCUCAGUUCGGAUCGAAGUCUGCAACUCGACUUCGUGAAGCUGGAUUCGCUAGUAAUCGCGCAUCAGCCAUGGCGCGGUGAAUACGUUCCCGGGCCUUGUACACACCGCCCGUCAAGCCAUGGAAGCCGGGGGGACCUGAAGUACGUAACCGCAAGGAGCGUCCUAGGGUAAAACCGGUAACUGGGGCUAAGUCGUAACAAGGUAGCC